GAAAAAUCUCACGCCUAAAGCCUACUUCCUCCUCCUUCUUCAUCUUCUCAUUUGGACUCAUAAAUUCUCCAUUGUAACCAGAUCUGAUCAUUUUUAAAAUCUUGUUGUCACUCCACAUUUUUUAGUACUUUGAUGGAUGCUGGUGAUUUCCCUAAUUUUUCUUCACCUUUAUAUGAGAAACUUCAAUAAUAGGUCGAAUAAUUUAAACAUUGUUUGUAGGAAGAAGGGAUAUUAUGGUAGUCAAUACCUU
rnacentral:misc_RNA from 1 species